rnacentral:rRNA from 1 species
CCUACGGGUGGCAGCAGUGGGGGAUAUUGCACAAUGGGGGAAACCCUGAUGCAGCGACGCCGCGUGGGUGAAGAAGCGCCUCGGCGCGUAAAGCCCUGUCAGCAGGGAAGAAAAUGACGGUACCUGAAGAAGAAGCCCCGGCUAACUACGUGCCAGCAGCCGCGGUAAUACGUAGGGGGCAAGCGUUGUCCGGAAUUACUGGGUGUAAAGGGAGCGUAGGCGGGCGAGAAAGUUGAAUGUUAAAUCUACCGGCUUAACUGGUAGCUGCGUUCAAAACUUCUUGUCUUGAGUGAAGUAGAGGCAGGCGGAAUUCCUAGUGUAGCGGUGAAAUGCGUAGAUAUUAGGAGGAACACCAGUGGCGAAGGCGGCCUGCUGGGCUUUAACUGACGCUGAGGCUCGAAAGCGUGGGGAGCAAACAGGAUUAGAUACCCCUGUAGUC